CACAAUAGCUCAGUUGGUAGAGCAAUGCAUUCGUAAUGCGUAGGUCAUCGGUUCGAGUCCGAUCUGUGGCUCAA
rnacentral:tRNA from 1 species